CCUACGGGUGGCUGCAGUGGGGAAUAUUGCACAAUGGGCGCAAGCCUGAUGCAGCCAUGCCGCGUGUGUGAAGAAGGCCUUCGGGUUGUAAAGCACUUUCAGCGGGGAGGAAGGCGGUGAGGCUAAUAACCUCAUCGAUUGACGUUACCCGCAGAAGAAGCACCGGCUAACUCCGUGCCAGCAGCCGCGGUAAUACGGAGGGUGCAAGCGUUAAUCGGAAUUACUGGGCGUAAAGCGCACGCAGGCGGUCUGUCAAGUCGGAUGUGAAAUCCCCGGGCUCAACCUGGGAACUGCAUUCGAAACUGGCAGGCUAGAGUCUUGUAGAGGGGGGUAGAAUUCCAGGUGUAGCGGUGAAAUGCGUAGAGACCUGGAGGAAUACCGGUGGCGAAGGCGGCCCCCUGGACAAAGACUGACGCUCAGGUGCGAAAGCGUGGGGAGCAAACAGGAUUAGAUACCCCAGUAGUC
rnacentral:rRNA from 1 species